rnacentral:rRNA from 1 species
GACAGAGGGUGCAAACGUUGUUCGGAAUUACUGGGCGUAAAGCGCGUGUAGGCGGCCAUCUAAGUCGGGCGUGAAAUCCCACGGCUCAACCGUGGAAGUGCACUCGAAACUGGAUGGCUAGAGUCCUGGAGAGGAAGGUGGAAUGCUUGGUGUAGAGGUGAAAUUCGUAGAUAUCGGGAGGAACACCGGUGGCGAAGGCGGCGACCUGGGCCAAUACUGACACUGAGGUGCGAAAGCGUGGGGAGCAAACAGG